GUAGGUGGCAAGCGUUGUCCGGAAUUAUUGGGCGUAAAGCGCGCGCAGGCGGUUCUUUAAGUCUGAUGUGAAAGCCCACGGCUCAACCGUGGAGGGUCAUUGGAAACUGGAGAACUUGAGUACAGAAGAGGAAAGCGGAAUUCCACGUGUAGCGGUGAAAUGCGUAGAGAUGUGGAGGAACACCAGUGGCGAAGGCGGCUUUCUGGUCUGUAACUGACGCUGAGGCGCGAAAGCGUGGGGAGCAAACAGGAUUAGAUACCCUGGUAGUCCACGCCGUAAACGAUGAGUGCUAAGUGUUAGGGGGUUUCCGCCCCCUUAGUGCUGCAGCUAACGUCAUUAAGCACUCCGCCUGGGAGUACGGCCGCAAGGCUG
rnacentral:rRNA from 1 species